UCCACGCCGUAAACGAUGAUAACUCGUUGUUGGCGAUACACAGUCAGCGACUAAGGGAAACCGAUAAGUUAUCCACCUGGGGAGUACGAUCGCAAGGUUGAAACUCAAAGGAAUUAACGGGGGCCCGCACAAGCGGUGGAGCAUGUGGUUUAAUUCGAAGCAACGCGAAGAACCUUACCUGGGCUUGACAUCUCUGGAAUCCGCCAGAAACGGUGGAGUGCCCUUCGGGGAGC
rnacentral:rRNA from 1 species